AGCUCCAAUAGCGUAUAUUAAAGUUGUUGCGGUUAAGAAGCUCGUAGUUGGAUUUCUGUUGAGGAUGACCGGUCCGCCCUCUGGGUGUGCAUCUGGCUCAGCCUUGACACCUUCCUGAAGAACGUAUCUGCACUUGACUCCGUGGUGCGAUAUUCGGGGCAUUUACCUUGAGGAAAAUUAGGGUGUUUCAAACAAGCGCACGCUUUGAAUACAUUAGCAUGGAAGAAUAACAUAGGAGCUCAGUUCUAUCUUGUUGGGCUUCUAGAGCUGAGGUAGUGGUUGAUAGGCAUUCGUAUUUAAUUGUCAGAAGUCAGAGGUGACAUUUUUGGAUUGUUAAAAACGAACUACUGCGAAAGCAUGUGCCAAGCAUGUCUUCA
rnacentral:rRNA from 1 species